rnacentral:lncRNA from 1 species
GAAAAACUUUGCCCCGGCUCUUACGAGAAUCGAGCUACUCCAACUCCCGGAGGGCUUCUCCGUUCGGACUAUCAAGGGAGCCGAACUUAGCCCCGACUUCAGCGGAGAAGAAUCCGGGCGAACCUGACAAGUGGGUAUCCCCGAACGACACAAAAGCCAAAAAGGAGCUCGGCAAAUGACGACCCCACGUGAACUGAAAAAGUCGCCGAUGACCUUGGAACAACGUGACACAGACAAAGAGAACGAAAGGAAAAUGAAGAAGUCCGGCAGACAACUAUUUAACACAAGAUGAAAACAAGGUACUGAAAUUACUUUUUCAUUUAACAGAAGUACACAUUACAGGACCCGGUGGGUCAGGAAAAAAGAAGAUACACGUCAUCACAAGUAUCGCGGGCACGGUUCGGGCAGGACGAAUCGGAGACCGCUCCGAGCUACGAACUCCGUCUCUAUCCUUC